UCAUCAGUGCUUCCAUCUCCAACCAAUCUGAGGGAAGACAGAAGCGCACUCCUCCAAUGGGAGUUGAGGAGCCCGCGGUAGUGAUAGAGCCCCGAUACCCUGCCAUCGCUCCGCUGAGCGUCGCGUGAAGCAUCCGUGAUCUGCGAGAUCUUGCUGUGGGCCAGGUAUCCAUUCUCCUGCGGCAGCUGUAGAACCUACGGAGGCUAGAGGUACUGGAGCCCGCCGCCUGCUUUCCUUAGCGUGAAUAAUAGUGGUUUCAUGGAAGGGAAGACAAAUGAUAGAAAGCUCCACUCUGCCAUCUUGAUGACAUCUGAAUUUUCUAGAUUUUGUUCAGAUUUAUUUUGUUUUGGUUUUUGUUUACUGCUAUUAUAUGUUUUGUGGAAGCCAGAAGAAGGCGUUGGAUCCC